rnacentral:rRNA from 1 species
CCUACGGGUGGCAGCAGUGGGGGAUAUUGGGCAAUGGGCGCAAGCCUGACCCAGCAACGCCGCGUGAGUGAAGAAGUCUUUCGGUAUGUAAAGCUCUAUUCUCAGGGACGAAGAGAGUGACGGUACCUGAAUAAUAAGCCCCGGCUAACUACGUGCCAGCAGCCGCGGUAAUACGUAGGGGGCAAGCGUUAUCCGGAUUUACUGGGUGUAAAGGGCGCGCAGGCGGCGAUGCAAGCCAGGAGUGAAAGGCGGGGGCCCAACCCCCGGCCUGCUUUUGAAACUGUGUUGCUUGAGUGCAGGAGAGGCAAGGGGAAUUCCGAGGGUAGCGGGGAAAUGCGUAGAUAUUAGGAGGAAUACCAGUGGCGAAGGCGGCCUGCUGGACUGUAACUGACGUUGAGGCGCGAAAGCGUGGGGAGCAAACAGGAUUAGAUACCCCAGUAGUC